AGAGUUUGAUCAUGGCUCAGAACGAACGCUGGCGGCAGGCUUAACACAUGCAAGUUGAACGAACGUAGCAAUACGUUAGUGGCGCACGGGUGAGUAACGCGUGGAUAUCUGCCUUUUGGUUCGGGAUAACCUUGGGAAACUAGGGCUAAUACCGAAUGGUUCCUACGGGAUAAAGAUUUAUCGCCAAAAGAUGAGUCCGCGUCCGAUUAGCUAGUUGGUGUGGUAAUGGCGCACCAAGGCGACGAUCGGUAGCUGGUCUGAGAGGACGAUCAGCCACACUGGGACUGAGACACGGCCCAGACUCCUACGGGAGGCAGCAGUGGGGAAUAUUGGACAAUGGGGGCAACCCUGAUCCAGCCAUGCCGCGUGAGUGAUGAAGGCCUUCGGGUUGUAAAGCUCUUUUGGCGGGGACGAUGAUGACGGUACCCGCAGAAUAAGCCCCGGCUAACUUCGUGCCAGCAGCCGCGGUAAGACGAAGGGGGCAAGCGUUGUUCGGAAUUACUGGGCGUAAAGCGAGUGUAGGUGGUUGUCGUAGUCAGGUGUGAAAGCCUUGAGCUCAACUCAAGAAAUGCACUUGAUACUGGGCAGCUAGAGGACCGGAGAGGAUAGUGGAAUUCCCAGUGUAGUGGUGAAAUACGUAGAGAUUGGGAAGAACACCAGUGGCGAAGGCGGCUAUCUGGACGGUUUCUGACACUAAGACUCGAAAGCGUGGGGAGCAAACAGGAUUAGAUACCCUAGUAGUCC
rnacentral:rRNA from 1 species